rnacentral:rRNA from 1 species
GGCGAACGGGUGAGUAACACGUGGGUGAUCUGCCCUGCACUUCGGGAUAAGCCUGGGAAACUGGGUCUAAUACCGGAUAGGACAGCUGUUUAGUGUCAGUUGUGGAAAGUUUUUUCGGUGCAAGAUGAGCUCGCGGCCUAUCAGCUUGUUGGUGGGGUAAUGGCCUACCAAGGCGACGACGGGUAGCCGGCCUGAGAGGGUGACCGGCCACACUGGGACUGAGACACGGCCCAG